rnacentral:tRNA from 4 species
GGAGGGAUACCAAAGUGGCCAAAUGGGGCGGACUGUAAAUCCGCUGGCUUCGCCUUCGUAGGUUCGAAUCCUACUCCCUCCA